rnacentral:rRNA from 1 species
UACGUAGGGGGCGAGCGUUGUCCGGAUUUAUUGGGCGUAAAGAGCUCGUAGGCGGUUCGGUAAGUCGGAUGUGAAAUCUCCACGCUCAACGUGGAGGGGCCAUUCGAUACUGCCGUGACUCGAGUCCGGUAGGGGAGUGUGGAAUUCCCGGUGUAGCGGUGAAAUGCGCAGAGAUCGGGAGGAACACCCGUAGCGAAGGCGGCACUCUGGGCCGGUACUAACGCUGAGGAGCGAAAGCGUGGGGAGCGAACAGG